CAGUAGCCGCGGUAAUACGGAGGGUGCAAGCGUUAAUCGGAAUUACUGGGCGUAAAGCGCACGCAGGCGGUCUGUCAAGUCAGAUGUGAAAUCCCCGGGCUUAACCUGGGAACUGCAUUUGAAACUGGCAGGCUAGAGUCUUGUAGAGGGGGGUAGAAUUCCAGGUGUAGCGGUGAAAUGCGUAGAGAUCUGGAGGAAUACCGGUGGCGAAGGCGGCCCACUGGACAAAGACUGACGCUCAGGUGCGAAAGCGUGGGGAGCAAACAGGAUUAGAUACCCCUGUAGUCCCUGUCUCUUAUAC
rnacentral:rRNA from 1 species